rnacentral:rRNA from 1 species
CUAAGUCUGAUGUGAAAGCCUUCGGCUUAACCGGAGAAGUGCAUCGGAAACUGGAUAACUUGAGUGCAGAAGAGGGUAGUGGAACUCCAUGUGUAGCGGUGGAAUGCGUAGAUAUAUGGAAGAACACCAAUGGCGAAGGCGGCUACCUGGUCUGCAACUGACGCUGAGACUCGAAAGCAUGGGUAGCGAACAGGAUUAGACUACCCUGGUAG